UACAGAGGGUGCGAGCGUUACUCGGAAUUACUGGGCGUAAAGCGUGCGUAGACGGCUAUCUAAGUCGGGUGUGAAAGCCCCGGGCUCAACCUGGGAAUUGCAUUCGAGACUGAAUAGCUAGGGUACGGUAGAGGGAAGUGGAAUUUCCGGUGUAGCGGUGAAAUGCGUAGAUAUCGGAAGGAACAUCAGUGGCGAAAGCGACGUGCUGGGUUGCACCUGACGCUGAGAUGCGAAAGUGUGGGGAGCAAACGGG
rnacentral:rRNA from 1 species